AUGUCAGGAAUUAGCAUUUCUGACCUUCGAUUAUCCUCAGCAAGGACAUCCUCAAGCAUUAAGGAACUGAAGGAAGAUGGAUUGAGGGAGUACAUUGAUCUCAAACAAUCAUUGCUGCCUUACGACAUAUUUAUUGUUAUAACAGGUUUCUCUGCCUUCACUCUGGCUUCGAAUGAUGGAGCCGCCUACUCGUUCCUCGUCGGCGGGAUUGGAGGUGUAAGAAAGCCAUGGUUGAUAUUGUCGAUUGUAAUGGUUGCUGGGGAUGUUGCACUGAAGUACGACGCUGGUGGUGACAACUUUGAGCUGAUUCCAACUGAGCUCUUUGUUGGCGUUGUAGGGUUCCUGGCAAACAAGGUUGCUGUUCUUCUAGCUGCAUUCAAACCCUUGCAAACGGCCGGCUGGGAACCACACGAUCUCUAUCACGCGCGUCCGUCCCCACUUCAGGUGCCAUCUGGUCGGCAGCCAACCUACCUCUCCCUCGUUCUCUCCCAACCCGUCUCUCUCUUUCUGUCUAUUCUCCCUUCCUCACAGAUCUGGAUCGGAGGGGGCUCACUGGCGUCUCCCCUCAACGCCGACCACCAGAAACCUCCACCGGCUGGCCACCGCGCUCCACCGGCUGAGGGGAGGCUUGGCCGCGCCGCCACCAGCCCCCACCACGACAUCCCGCCUACCGUCCUAUUGCUCCUUCCCCUACCGGAUCCAGUCCCAUCGUCGUCGUUCCCCUCCGUCGUCGACGGGAUACGGCCUCUGCGUCGACGGGAUGGCCAUCAUCCUCGACGAGAUGCGGCCGUCGUCUCCUUCCUCUGA
rnacentral:rRNA from 1 species